rnacentral:rRNA from 1 species
UAGUGGCGAACGGGUGAGUAACACGUGGGUAAUCUGCCCUGCACUCUGGGAUAAGCCUUGGAAACGAGGUCUAAUACCGGAUAUCACAACUCUUCGCAUGGGGGGUUGUUGAAAGUUCCGGCGGUGCAGGAUGAACCCGCGGCCUAUCAGCUUGUUGGUGGGGUAAUGGCCUACCAAGGCGACGACGGGUAGCCGGCCUGAGAGGGUGACCGGCCACACUGGGACUGAGACACGGCCCAGACUCCUACGGGAGGCAGCAGUGGGGAAUAUUGCACAAUGGGCGAAAGCCUGAUGCAGCGACGCCCGCGUGAGGGAUGACGGCCUUCGGGUUGUAAACCUCUUUCGCCAGGGACGAAGCGCAAGUGACGGUACCUGGAUAAGAAGCACCGGCUAACUACGUGCCAGCAGCCGCGGUAAUACGUAGGGUGCGAGCGUUGUCCGGAUUUAUUGGGCGUAAAGAGCUCGUAGGCGGUUUGUCGCGUCGGCUGUGAAAUCUGGAGGCUUAACCUUCAGCGUGCAGUCGAUACGGGCAGACUUGAGUUCGGUAGGGGNAGACUGGAAUUCCU